rnacentral:sRNA from 1 species
CGAGUGUGUAGCUUGGGAGGAGCAGCGC